CCUACGGGCGGCAGCAGUGGGGAAUAUUGGACAAUGGGCGAAAGCCUGAUCCAGCCAUGCCGCGUGUGUGAAGAAGGCCUUCGGGUUGUAAAGCACUUUCAGUGGGGAAGAAAGCCUUGGGGCUAAUACCCUCGAGGAAGGACAUCACCCACAGAAGAAGUACCGGCUAACUCCGUGCCAGCAGCCGCGGUAAUACGGAGGGUGCGAGCGUUAAUCGGAAUUACUGGGCGUAAAGCGCGCGUAGGCGGUCUGAUAAGCCGGUUGUGAAAGCCCCGGGCUCAACCUGGGAACGGCAUCCGGAACUGUCAGGCUAGAGUGCAGGAGAGGAAGGUAGAAUUCCCGGUGUAGCGGUGAAAUGCGUAGAGAUCGGGAGGAAUACCAGUGGCGAAGGCGGCCUUCUGGACUGACACUGACGCUGAGGUGCGAAAGCGUGGGUAGCAAACAGGAUUAGAUACCCCGGUAGUC
rnacentral:rRNA from 1 species